rnacentral:rRNA from 1 species
CCUACGGGUGGCUGCAGUGGGAAAUAUUGGACAAUGGGCGAAAGCCUGAUCCAGCCAUGCCGCGUGUGUGAAGAAGGCCUUCGGGUUGUAAAGCACUUUCAGUGGGGAAGAAAGCCUUGGGGCUAAUACCCUCGAGGAAGGACAUCACCCACAGAAGAAGCACCGGCUAACUCCGUGCCAGCAGCCGCGGUAAUACGGAGGGUGCGAGCGUUAAUCGGAAUUACUGGGCGUAAAGCGCGCGUAGGCGGUCUGAUAAGCCGGUUGUGAAAGCCCCGGGCUCAACCUGGGAACGGCAUCCGGAACUGUCAGGCUAGAGUGCAGGAGAGGAAGGUAGAAUUCCCGGUGUAGCAGUGAAAUGCGUAGAGAUCGGGAGGAAUACCAGUGGCGAAGGCGGCCUUCUGGACUGACACUGACGCUGAGGUGCGAAAGCGUGGGUAGCAAACAGGAUUAGAUACCCGUGUAGUC